UGCCUACGGGAGGCAGCAGUGGGGAAUAUUGGACAAUGGGCGAAAGCCUGAUCCAGCCAUGCCGCGUGUGUGAAGAAGGUCUUCGGAUUGUAAAGCACUUUAAGUUGGGAGGAAGGGUUGUAGAUUAAUACUCUGCAAUUUUGACGUUACCGACAGAAUAAGCACCGGCUAACUCUGUGCCAGCAGCCGCGGUAAUACAGAGGGUGCAAGCGUUAAUCGGAAUUACUGGGCGUAAAGCGCGCGUAGGUGGUUUGUUAAGUUGGAUGUGAAAUGCCCGGGCUCAACCUGGGAACUGCAUUCAAAAC
rnacentral:rRNA from 1 species